rnacentral:rRNA from 2 species
AAAACAUGUCUUUUUGAUAAAAAUUUAAAGUCAGGUCUGCUCACUGAAUAAUUUUAAAGAGCCGCAGUAUACUGACUGUGCAAAGGUAGCAUAAUCAAUAGUUUUUUAAUUGAAAACUGGAAUGAAAGAUUAGACGAAAAAUUAAUUUUCUUUAUUUUAAUAAAUUUAAUUUUAAAUUUAAGUGAAAAUGCUUAAAUAAAAUUAAAAGACGAGAAGACCCUAUAGAUUUUUAUUAUUGAAAUAAAUUUAUAAAUGUGAUUUAAUAAAAUAAUUUAAUUGGGGUGAUUUUAUAAUAUAAAUAACUUAAUUUCUUGAAACCAUAAAUAAUUGAAUUUUUGAUCUAAAAUUUUUAAAGAAAAGAUUAAAUUACCUUAGGGAUAACAGCGUAAUUUUAUUUAAGAGUUCAUAUCUAUAAUAAAGUUUGCGACCUCGAUGUUGAAUUAAGAUAAUAUAUUGGAGUAGAAAUUAAUAUAAUUAGUCUGUUCGACUAUUAAAUUCUUACGUGAUCUG